ACUCUUAAUAGUCUUCCCAUCCGAUAUAAGAAACCCAACCUUUCGCCUUCUAACCCUAGUUUACUGUUUUCUUCAGAGUCACUCUGUUGAAACGAAACGAAACUUGUCGAUGGACAGAAACAUCCCAAUGGACGGGAAAUUCGCUGCAGUUGGUAAGACAAGCGUGUUCUGGGACGUGGAGGAUUUCCCAAUCCCAAAGGGUCUCGAUCCUUUCUCGAUCAAAUCAGCUCUUGCGAACAUCGGUUACUAUUGGUGAGGUGUCCUCAAAUAUGGGCUUAUGUUGUUGAUAAGAAAACGUUCACUGAUGAUGAUAACUAAGUAAAGUUCCAGGGGAUAAAUAUGCAAGACUUAGUGGGAUGUUAUUGGACCAGUGUGAUAGGGGGCCAAAUUUGGUGGUAAUCUCAAAAAACAUCAAAGAAGAAACCGACUUCAUCCGUAUUCUUGAAGCUUUGAGAGAUAUGUGUUUCAAUGUUUUCUUAGCACAACCAGGAGUGAUUGCAGACUACACAAUAACCUUUUUAUGAAUAUUUUUUGGUGGUCUUGAUCUAAUUACAGCUUGAUGAAUGAGUUGAUUUCGUGAAAGAAACAAGUAGGUAAGGUGCACCAAAUGUGAGCCUUUUCUAAUUUUCCCCACUCUGUUUCUUCCUUGCAAAACCAGGUUUCAAAAGAUCCUACUUGGUGUUCUUGAUGGAAAGACUGGUGCAACAAUGCUUCCACAAGCUAGAGGAUCCAAUCGAGAACCGUGACGAGGCCUUUUUUUUGUAAGCAAUAUUCGCCUGUGGCCUAAACCAGGUUCCCGGAUGCUCUUCCAUAGAUCUAUUCCUCCAAGGCUCCAACACAAACUGCUUUGAAUCUAUGUCAAACCACUGCAGUUGAUUCCUUCAGACAGAGUACCUUGUCAUGCUCUGCUAAAUGCGGGUGCAAAUUUCUUCUUUAAGUGUUUGUAAUAAAGUGACUAAAGACAUAUGAAAACUAGUAAUGCUUAUUACAUAUAUAUCUCAA